CCUACGGGGGAAAAAUUUAUUGCUAUUAGAUGAGCCUAUAUUAGAUUAGUUAGUUGGUGAGGUAAAGGCUUACCAAGACAAUGAUCUAUAGCUGAUCUGAGAGGAUGAUCAGCCACACUGGAACUGAGAUACGGUCCAGACUCCUACGGGAGGCAGCAGUGGGGAAUAUUGGACAAUGGGCGAAAGCCUGAUCCAGCCAUGCCGCAUGAGUGAAGAAGGCCUUCGGGUUGUAAAGCUCUUUUAGUGAGGAAGAUAAUGACGGUACUCACAGAAGAAGUCCUGGCUAACUCCGUGCCAGCAGCCGCGGUAAUACGGAGAGGGCUAGCGUUAUUCGGAAUCAUUGGGCGUAAAGGGCGCGUAGGCGGGUUAGUAAGUUAAAAGUGAAAUCCCAAGGCUCAACCUUGGAACUGCUUUUAAAACUGCUAGUCUAGAGAUUGAAAGAGGAUAGAGGAAUUCCUAGUGUAGAGAUGAAAUUCGUAAAUAUUAGGAGGAACACCAGUGGCGAANGCGUCUAUCUGGUUCAAAUCUGACGCUGAGGCGCGAAGGCGUGGGGAGCAAACAGGAUUAGAUACCCUGGUAGUCACGCUGUAAACGAUGAAUGUUAAAUAUGGGAAGUUUACUUUCUGUAUUAUAGCUAACGCGUUAAACAUUCCGCCUGGGGACUACNGUCGCAAGAUUAAAACUCAAAGGAAUUGACGGGGACCCGCACAAGCGGUGGAGCAUGUGGUUUAAUUCGAUGCAACGCGAAAAA
rnacentral:rRNA from 1 species